rnacentral:lncRNA from 1 species
CAACACUUCCUCCUCUAGCAGUUCUAGGAGUUCGUCCGUUCCAGCCCCCCAAAAUCUUAGUUCCGUAGAUGAACCCCAUCCGAUCUUUGUACCAGACACCAUUCCUAGCACUCUGACUUCGAACAAACUCUCGCUAAUCAGGAUUCACUACGGGGUUCCUCUGGAGUAUGAGUUUGAGCUUUCCGGGCCAACUGAUCAGGCUAGCGUCCCUCCUCCAGGCCGCUUCUACUUAUAUCAGGAAGCUUUCCGCACCGGGCUUCAACUUCCUCUUCCCCCCU